UAUUGUUUUAUCGACCUCAGAGCAGGUGAGACUACCCGCUGAAUUUAAGCAUAUCAAUAAGCGGA
rnacentral:rRNA from 1 species